rnacentral:sRNA from 1 species
CUGGACUUACACUGUUUUAAAAAUGAUUACGUAUAUCGAAUGAAAACUAAGUAACAACGACGGCGAGAGGAGACUUGACGGAUGACGGGCGCUAGUCACCGUCAACUACUUGUGCCUCAACGGUCCUUGACGUCAAGCGUCAAGAGACUACUCAGCCUGACACUUUUCAUUCCAUCAAAGAUUGUUCGGAACCACAGCUUUGUAGUCUUUGUGCUCGUCUUCCUCGCAAACCUCGGGCUGCGACAUAACAAACCUGUAAAAUGGCUCAAUGCAGGUUUACAUAUGACACUUACCUGCUCAGAAUGUAUGGAAUGCCAGCAAAUUGAGGACCGUAACGGGCCGCAUUGUCGUAAAAUUCAAAAACAGGAAUGGCGUGAAGCUUCAUAUUGGCUGGAACAGCAAAAGUUUCUACCGAUAGAUAGCUUUUUGCACUCUUUAGGAUAAGAUACAUGGGCCGGGGCAUACGGGUACUGGAAAGGAUAAAUAAUAUGUUAUUCACUGCCGACCCUUGUCAUUGGUACAAAAAAUAAGCACUCACUAUAAAAGUGUCAAAGUGCGGUCUGUACCAAACACUCAAACAGUCUCUCACUUCCCAAUCCCUUCCUUCUUCAGGAGCAAGCCAGACAGUAUGGGGGAGGUCAUCCUCGCCUUUCCCUUUGAAUGUAGUUACGGGUACACCAAGCUGUUCAUUGAGACGAGUGAUGAGGCCUUCUGCGUCUGACUCGGAGGGGUCAAGGUAGCCACCAGGUCUUAUUUAUUGUCAACCAACUUGCAGGGCACUAAACAUAACGUUCACCUACAGCUUGUAGAAAGCAUUAGCAACCUGCAAGACGAGGACAUGAGGGAAUCCAUGGACCUGUGUGGGAAGAUUUAGCAAAGCCCUAGACGGACCAAUCGAAGUACUAACUGUGACCACCAUGAUAGCCUCAACAGAUCGCCUGGUUCCGCUUUCCGUGUAUUGAUCCUCAAGUCUUUUCAAUCUGUUGGUUACUGAGUUGUCUUCCUCUGGUUGACCUUCUCGUUCACUAGGGGAAAGCCAUCAGUUCCUGGUCGAGGAAGAAAGGUCGCGCUUUGCCAAUCACGCGCAGAACCAGUUAGGGAGCAGGUGAAGGCGGAAAAGGGGAAUGAAAGCAGAAUAUUUGCCACUCACAUGAACAAGUAAUUGCGGAGAGGAAACCUAUCGCAGGCUAUCAGUGUUUUAUACUUGUUGAUACUACGUCAACAAUACUGACGCUUCGAUAGUAUUGUGCGUAUUAUCAACCAUCUUUGACCAUCCACUCUAAGAUUGAGAAUAUAUCGGUGAAGAGAGGGUUGCAGAGAAGAAGAGAAGAGAAGAAGAGAACAAGAGAAUGUGAAAGUGAACAAAUGGAUAAGGAUGGAAGACAUUCGCGUGAGUGGUAUGUUGUUGACGGUUGAUUCACCCUGCGCUUGGGCCUCCCUCACAUCCUUUUGGAGGAGAGAACGCGCAUAGAUCUCCAGUUUUUCUUCCAAAAUAUCACUAACAAGAGCUAUAAUUGCAUAUUAGAUGCAUCUAUUCCAG